rnacentral:lncRNA from 1 species
CCUCCGAGAAGCAAGAAGCCAAAAGUGGGAUCCUGGAGGCCGCUGGCUUCCCCGACCCGGGUAAAAAGGCCUCUCCUUUGGUGGUGGCUGCAGCGGCAGCAGCAGCGGUAGCUGCCCAAGGAGGCCGCAGCAUCUCUUGCCACCAUUCCAUGCGCCCCUACCGAUUGACAUGCGACACCAGGAAGGAAGGUACCAUUACGAGCCUCAUUCUGUCCACGGUGUGCACGGGUCCCGUUUCUCCAGCCCGCGGGUGACGCCCCGCCUGAGCCGCAAGCGGGCGCUGUCCAUCUCCCCACUCUCAGACGCCAGCCUGGACCUGCAGCGGAUGAUCCGCACCUCACCCAACUCGCUAGUGGCCUACAUCAACAACUCCCGAAGCAGCUCGGCGGCCAGCGGUUCCUACGGGCAUCUGUCAGCGGGUGCCCUCAGCCAGCCUUCACCUUCCCCCACCCCAUCAACCCCGUGGCCUACCAGCAGAUUCUGAGCCAGCAGAGGGGUCUGGGGUCAGCCUUUGGACACACACCA